AUUGAACGCUGGCGGCAUGCCUUACACAUGCAAGUCGAACGGCAGCACGGGAGCAAUCCUGGUGGCGAGUGGCGAACGGGUGAGUAAUAUAUCGGAACGUGCCCAGUCGUGGGGGAUAACGCAGCGAAAGUUGUGCUAAUACCGCAUACGAUCUAUGGAUGAAAGCGGGGGAUCGCAAGACCUCGCGCGAUUGGAGCGGCCGAUAUCAGAUUAGGUUGUUGGUGAGGUAAAAGCUCACCAAGCCUGCGAUCUGUAGCUGGUCUGAGAGGACGACCAGCCACACUGGAACUGAGACACGGUCCAGACUCCUACGGGAGGCAGCAGUGGGGAAUUUUGGACAAUGGACGAAAGUCUGAUCCAGCAAUGCCGCGUGCAGGACGAAGGCCUUCGGGUUGUAAACCUCUUUCAGUCAGGGAAGAAGCGAAAGUGACGGUACCUGCAGAAGAAGCACCGGCUAACUACGUGCCAGCAACCGG
rnacentral:rRNA from 1 species